UACUCACCUGACAUUGACAGUUUAAAACGUCAAACGAAAAUGUUCAUGAAUAUUUAUCUAUCUUGAAGAAUAUCUCAAAUAACUAUGAUCUCACUCUUUUAUCCGGUGUUAAUUUAAGUUUAUAAAGUGUAUUAGUAUAUCAAAAUGCAACAAUCCCCGUUUGAGAAUAUUUUUAAUAUAAUUGGCGGAUUAUCCGAAGGAAAUGAGAAGCCCAUGAAACAUGGGUUCUAUAACGCGUUUGCCCUGUUCAUUCUAACUAUAUGCUGUGCUGCAGUGUAUGUGCUGUUUCUUAUACUAGAACCCUUCUUCAAACCUUUGUUUUGGGCCCUUUUAGUCGGUUCGUUGCUGCACCCAUUCAAAUAUAAAUUGUCUAAGAAGUUGAAGUCAUGGUUUGAAGAUUUAGAGAAAUGUAACAAAUCUGUGAUAUUUGGGGUAAUGUUCUUACCUGUAAAUGUUGUUAAUUUUGCUUCGGACACUGUGGGACAACAGUUCAUAGAACAUUACAAGACUGUGAUUGGGUUACUCUCUGCUAUAUUUGUUUUACCGUGGCUGUACAACGCCAUCCCCCGAAGUUUGGUCUGCAUAUUCUGGCAGCUGAGCAGCUUUAUUGGCUUUUCAACUACAAAGCUCAUUGGCUUUUGCAGCUCAUACAUUACUCUGACCAUAGCUCUGGCUUAUUUAAUAAGCAUAUGCACAUUAUGGAGGCCAGAGCGAUCUGGCAUGUUUAAAGCAUCAUCACAAUUCCUCUGGCUUGUUAUAACAAGUUUCCUGGCCAGUCUGACUGGGUCUCUGCAAGUCUAUACAUUUGUAAUGCUGCAAGGGCUAUGUGUAGCUGGAUUUGCACUUGAAGUGAUUGAUGUUCAUAAGGAAUUAUUAGCGAGGGAUCCUGAGACAUCAGCUUUAGUCGCAAUUCAAAAAGUUCUUACGAACGAACAUUGCAAAGAUGCAAUAAAGCAAGAUGAAAAGCCGGAACAGAGCGCUAGUGAACAGGAAUCCACUCCCGAGAAAGAUUCCCCUUCUCCCGUCACCCCUGAUGCCGCUACGAAAAGGGGAAGCUGGGCAGAAAGCGAUCAAAUUCACAGCUCGCCUCGCCACGCCAAAAUGCUGUACAAAACUAGAACAUUAUCCGCCUUACCACUAUCGAAUACGAAAACGAAAUCCGCCUUCGAAAAUCGACUUAUCGCCUCCUUCAAACAAAGGUCGAUGGACGAAAAUUAUUUGAAAAACAAUUUCAACAGUGAUGAUGAAACCGCCUUAUAUUUUAAACUACUUUUCUUUGGAUGUCUGUGCAUGCUCGUGUGGAAACAUAUUUGGCUGCUGCCAGUAAUGUUGUUUUUCUUAGCAAUCCAUGUUUUGAAGAGAGUAUUGGACUUCUUUGGAGUUUGGCUGUUCUGUGAGAAUCACUAUAAUAAUUUCAUGGGCAAAGUCAAAACUUGGUGGUCUGACAGACAAUCUGCAGCGGUACCAGCGCACAUUCGUGGAAUCCGCAAAAUCCUCUCUAGUUUGAAUAAAAGCAUAAGAGACGUGGCCUACGGCUCUGUGGAUACUGUGUCUACUUGCAUCGUCAUCACGGGCCUUAUUACAUUUCUUAUCGUCGCUACUAUAUUCAUUUUUAUACAGAUAUACUCAGAGGCAAUAGUGGUGGUCCAACUGAGCGGUAGCCUUCUGAACAGUACGUUCGUACAAAAUAGCGAGCUGCACGCUUACCUCCCCGAGGGGUGGGAGGAGAAACUAGAUUCCUUGAUCGACAACGCCUAUACUUAUGGAAAGGAGGGCAUAUCUGCUGGUGUAAAGAGCAUACUCAAAGAAGGCGACCCUGAGAAGAUAGCCCGAGUAGAGGAGCAAAUCCUGCAACUAUGGGAUCGCGUGUACCAAAGCUGGGUGUCGGGACAGUUCGCGCCGCAAAUCGGGCCCACGGUCGACGGCAACGCUGUCCAGGACUCGUGGGAUAGCUUCGUCCACGACCUCUCUAACACGCCUGGCAUGUUCGACUACUCCGGCAUCGUAGCCUGGGUGCAAGCCAACGUGGGCACCCUGAGCGCCAUAGCUACAAGCAUUUGGGCACCGCUGGCCAGCAAUGUAUCUUUGCUGGCCGGGUCGAUCGGCGCGUUCACCUCGCUUCUACUCUCAGGUGGCGGCGCUGUCAUCAACAUGUUCAUUAACUUGGUGGUGUUCUUUACAACGCUGUUCUACUUGCUGGCGUGCAGCAACGCUCUCUACAAGCCCGUCGAGGUCAUCACUCAAGUGCAGCCCAACUUUGGACCGCGGUUGGGCAUCGCGUUGUCUGUCGCUAUAAACCAGGUAUUCAGAGCGUCAUUCAAAAUGGCGCUGUUUUACGGGUUAUGGACGUGGCUGGUGCACAAUUUGUUUGGAGCUAAAGUUGUCUACUUACCUUCAGUGUUAGCUGCAGUGUUGGGCGCUGCUCCAUUCCUCGGGCCGUACUUGGCCGGGAUCCCCGCGGCACUGGACGUGUGGCUGCAGGGCAGGCCUAUGGCCGCGCUGAUGCUGCCUAUCGCUCAAGCUGCGCCCAUCGCCUUCCUAGAUGCCGCCGUCUACGCGGAAAUCAAAGACGGCGGCCACCCAUACGUGACCGGUCUAGCAAUAGCGGGUGGUAUAUUCUACCUCGGUCCUGAGGGCGCGAUCCUAGGCCCCCUUCUCCUCUGCUGCCUCAUGGUGGUGCUCAACCUUUCCUCUGCCUUCCUCCGCGACACGCCGUCUGAAGAGCGCGCCGCCCUGCAUUCGCGUGUCAGUGUACCAAAGUGGUUGGCGAAUGAGAAAUUGUCUCAGCUUGUUAUUUCUAUGAUGCUCAAAAGGUUAACCAAGGUAAAUUUGAUAAUCAAAUAUUCACUCGACACAUUUCGAAACUUCUUCAAAGUCCAUUAUGUUCAAAACAAAAUUUCACUACCCAUUUUUGUAAAUAACUGUUUUAUUUUCUUGUUUAUUGGUGAAUAAUAUUAUUUUUGGUGUAUUUAAGUGAUAGGCAAUAAUGCGUGGGUGUUCCUGUUGCUUUAGGUCAUUAUUGGGAUUGUUUUAUAAUUGAGGCUCGGUGCUUUUCUCUGACGGGUAUGCAUGGACUACUAACACUCAGUCAGUCCCCAACUGAAUUGUCAAUUAAUAAGCCAAGCAAAGUAUGGUAUGAUAAGUAAUAACGAUACAUUCGACACAAGAACAUUAUCUAAAAAGCGGUUGAAUUGAAAAGCUUAGGUGCCUACAUGUUUACAGUGCCAUGACAUGAAUUUUUACCAUUGAAUCAUUGACGACGCCGAAAUUCAGAAACAUAAAUUAAUGAAAUUUUUUAAAUUUAUAGUAACGGGCCGUUUAACCUGCUUCUCGAAAAUUUGUAUUGAUUGAAAUUACUUUAUAAUGUUUGAAAUAGUAUGAGAUGUUUCUGAUGUAGGAUCUGGCGUUGUUAUUUUAAUUCAUACAUAUUUAACAUUAAUACACUUGCUUUAUUUAUAGUUUUCAUUCCAUAUGAUACGAUCAGAUUAUACUUACAUGAUGGGUACUCUGAUUCUUGUAUACUAAUAGAAUAAUACUUUGGUACUAAUGUGGAUAAAUACAGGGUGUUUGGUACAUCGUUUGCCAAAUUAAAACGGCAGAUAGGUUGACUCAUUUGCUAUCUUCCCAGGCUUAAAAUUUUUUAAAUUGGCGCACAUUUUUUUUUCACUUCUAUGCCAGUAUUUCGUAAAUUUCAAAUUUUUACUUGCGUAGUAGUAAAAAAAACCAUGGCCAAUUUUGUUUUUCUAGGCAUGAGAAAAUAGCAAAUGUCUCAACCUAUCUGCCGUUUUAAUUUGGCAAACGAUGUACCAAACACCCUGUAUACCACCUUUGUUUUGUUAUCUUACCUACCGUGUUGCCGCCCAAUGUACACUCUGGUUAAAUGGAAUUAGGACCUUUCAUAAAACAUACAAAGUAAGUAACAUUUUACAAGCUUUUUUUAUCGUCUAUUUUUUUCAUCAUCAUCAUCAAUUAUGGGUGGCACGAGGCUAUAAAUACGUAUCAUUUUCAACCCGGCCGAGAAGUAAUUUAGAUAUCCUCCUAAGGCUCAAGGUCCUACCUAUAGUACUUAUUCAGUUCGAUGAAAUUUAAAUCAUAUUCAAUUGGAACAGAGUCGCAAUUAUUUUGUUUCGUACAAUUUUCAAACAAAACCAAAAUCAACUCUAUUCCCUGCACUAAAGGUUCAAAUUUCAUUGGCCAAUUCUGGUUUUUUCAUUUGUAUGGCUGGGCCUUAGGAGGAUAUGACUAUACGAUAAUAAUAAAUUGUCCCAUGUAUAUCUACAACGUCAAUAUAUUGCAUAACUAUUACUUGGAUAUUUUACUGUUACUUUGGUAUUUUGUUCCUGUGUUAGAAAAAGGUAUUUAUUCUGAAUCUCAUUCAUGCGUAAUAUGAGUACAUAUAUAUUGGAGAUCAUUAUAUUCAUUAUAUAUAUUUGAAAUCAUUAUUAUGUUUAACAGUUAAAUGAUUCAAUGUAUGUAGAGCUUUAAAUUAUUGUACACCUAGCCGCAAAUUGAAUGGCCACUUUAUAAAUGAUUUUAUUAUUAUUGAUACAUAUGUAAUUGUCCAUGCAAUGUUGCAGCGCACUGGAUGCACAAUGUUAUGUUAUGCCUUAAUAAUUAUAAUAUAAUGCAUAUUUCGUCGGGUGACAAGCAAAAGUCACUAACUAACAUCAUUGAAAUUAUUGGACAAUAAACCGUGUUACAAGUGUAAUAAAGUGCAUUGUUACUUUAAUAUUUUGAUAGUACUUAGUGACUGUUGCUUGUCACCCGACGAUAUAAUAUAAUGCAUAUUUUGUUGUGUUGUCCUUAUGUUGUGGAGAGAUAUUUACAUACUUCUAUUUAAUUAUAAACUUACACAGUAAUAGGCGUUGCAUGUAACAUUAUUUAUAUUUUCGUAAUCGAUUAGUUGAAAUUGAGGAAUUUUGAAUAACAUCAUUUACUAGUCACAGCAUUUAACUUAACACGUUCGCUACAGAGCGGAAAAUACUUGUUUUAGGUUACGCCUAAGCGUUUGUUAAUGGCCUAAGAAAACCAAGUUUAGUUCCUAGUAAACAUUUCUAUUCUAAUCAUAAAUUUUCAUAUUUAUAGUAUAAAUUAGAUUGCAUUGCAUUGUAGUGUCAUUACUGUUUGAUAAAAAUCAGAGCGUGGCCUACGCGCACAAUAACGAAUGUCAUUUAUAGGUACUUUACUUAUACAACGAACUUGUAAGUUGUUAUGACUGACUUAAAAAUCCUUCUUGCUUUAAAGUCUCUCUAUUAUUUGUUUAAUAGCGUUUUAACGCCUAUCACAAUUUCGUGUUAGCAAAAAAGAAUUCUUUUUUUUUUUCAUUUACAUAUAUUUUUCUCACCGGACUAUAAAUAUAUUGUAUAAGUAUAUUAGUUUACACCUAGCUAAAUGCCAAAUAAAGGCUUCCAGUAUGUCAUUGUAUGCGCAAAUAUUUUGAAACGCCUAAUGUACAAUAAUAUAAUUACUAUAUAGAACUUCGAAUGAGAAAACAGGCCACCGUAAUCUGGAAAAAAUCUGAGCGUAAAAAACCACAUGGUACCAUCAAUAAUACGUAUGUUAUGUAUGUUCUAUUUACGUCGGUCUGUAUUUCUUUAUUGAUUCUAUAUUCGUAUCCAGAAUAAGAAAGAAAAAACUGACAGUUCGGGGCUGGGCGUAUAUUUCAUGAGAUUACCAUGCUAUUUUAUUGGUCAAUAUGUUAUCUAUCUUGUACUGUUUGUAAAGUUUAUUUUAUUCACACGGGCUUUAUACCUUCUCAGUUAUAUUUUUCGUAAAUAUGCCUGUAAAUCAAAUAUAUUAUCUUUCAAACUGCCGUCAGGUUUACUCUCCUAAUUCUAAAUACGAGUAUAGUAUCAUGAUUUGUUAAUGAAUAAGUUACAUUUGUUAAGGCGACCGUACACCUAAAGUGCAGUCACCACGAACUUCAAAAGGUUUCGUAAAAUGUGCUCCCGAUUAUCUGAUGUCUAGUUAUAAGAAUGUAAAUAUUUAUUGUAUGCCAAUUAUUAUUAUUUACACGCUGUUUUCUCAUUUUUAUACGUGGUUAAAUCUAUUUUUGAAGCCAUAGUGGUACUUAGAGAUAUUAAUGAUCUUUGCAUUGCGCUGGUUAAUACGACCUUGUUGGAAUAUACUUAGUUUUGAAAAGCAGUUAUAAGUAUAUAAUAUUCAUAUUGAUGUUGUAUUUUUAAAUAUGUUACGUGCCUAGUAAAACGAUUCAAAAUUGUGACCAUUCAAUGGAAACUUAUAUGAGUUAUAUGCGUUGCCGUUAUGUAUUAUAUAUCUGAGCUUUACCUACUCCGAAAUAUUCGUAAGACCACAAGAGAUUUUAAAAGAUAAAUGGAUAAAUAAAUAACUCAAAUAACACAGAUUAAAGGCCGCUUAUAAUACAACAAAAACGCUCCUUUUGAGGUUUCGCGAUAUCUAUUUUUUUAAUCUCUAUCGUCACUUUCAUUCAGAAAUAAUAAUAGUUCAAAAAUAUCAAAACAAUAUUUAAAAUAACAUAUAAGUAUAUUGGAAUCAGCAAAGCCCUUACCAGUUCAGAAAGUAUCGUCCAAAAAUGAGUUAAGCUUUAUCAUAACUAAUAAUAUGGUAUUGUAUUGCAAUUAAAUGCACUAAAAUAGUUUAUUAUACGCGCAUAUUCGCAUUGUGGCAAAUAAAAGUAAUAUAUUGAUUUGCUUUUAAA